GAGGUUGUUGUUGUUGUUGUUGUUGUGGUUCUAGUUGGUGAGGUUGUUGUUGUUGUUGUUGUUGUGGUUGUUGUUGUUGUGGUGGUGGUUCUAGUUGGUGAGGUUGUUGUUGUUGUUGAUGUUGUUGUUGUUGUUGUUGUUGUUGUCCUCGUGGUCGUCGUUGUAGUCGUCAUCAUCGUUGUCAUCGUCAUCGUCGUUAUCGUCGUUGUCGUCUUCCUCGUC
rnacentral:lncRNA from 1 species